rnacentral:rRNA from 1 species
AACGAACGCUGGCGGCAGGCUUAACACAUGCAAGUCGAGCGCCCCGCAAGGGGAGCGGCAGACGGGUGAGUAACGCGUGGGAAUCUACCCAUCUCUACGGAAUAACGCAUGGAAACGUGUGCUAAUACCGUAUACGUCCUUCGGGAGAAAGAUUUAUCGGAGAUGGAUGAGCCCGCGUUGGAUUAGCUAGUUGGUGGGGUAAAGGCCUACCAAGGCGACGGUCCAUAGCUGGUCUGAGAGGAUGAUCAGCCACACUGGGACUGAGACACGGCCCAGACUCCUACGGGAGGCAGCAGUGGGGAAUAUUGGACAAUGGGCGCAAGCCUGAUCCAGCCAUGCCGCGUGAGUGAUGAAGGCCCUAGGGUUGUAAAGCUCUUUCACCGGUGAAGAUAAUGACGGUAACCGGAGAAGAAGCCCUGGCUAACUACGUGCCAGCCGCCGCCGUAAUAC